ACGAGAGGACCGGGGUGAACGAUCCACUGGUGGACCAGUUGUCGUGCCAACGGCAGUGCUGGGUAGCUAUGAUCGGACAGGAUAACCGCUGAAGGCAUCUAAGCGGGAAGCCCCCCUCAAAACAAGGUAUCCCUGAGGACCGUGGUAGACCACCACGUCGAUAGGCCGGAGGUGUAAGCGCAGCAAUGCGCUCAGCUGACCGGUACUAAUGGUCCGAUAGGCUUGAUUUGAUCCAG
rnacentral:rRNA from 1 species